rnacentral:rRNA from 1 species
AACGGACGCUGGCGGUAUGCUUAACACAUGCAAGUCGAACGAACAAAAUUGGGGCUUGCUCCAAUUUUAGUGAGUGGCAAACGGGUGAGUAACACGUGGGAAUCUACCUAUCAGUACGGAAUAACAUUUGGAAACAGAUGCUAAUACCGUAUAUUCUCCAAGGAGGAAAGAUUUAUCGCUGAUAGAUGAGCCCGCGUAAGAUUAGGUAGUUGGUAGGGUAAUGGCCUACCAAGCCGACGAUCUUUAGCUGGUCUGAGAGGAUGAUCAGCCACACUGGGACUGAGACACGGCCCAGACUCCUACGGGAGGCAGCAGUGGGGAAUAUUGGACAAUGGGCGAAAGCCUGAUCCAGCAAUACCGCGUGAAUGAUGAAGGCCUUAGGGUUGUAAAGUUCUUUUAGUUGGAAAGAUAAUGACGGUGCCAACAGAAAAAGCCCCGGCUAACUCCGUGCCAGCAGCCGCCGUAA